CAGAGGUAAAAAAUAUAAAGGAAAGAAGGGAGGAUCAAAGUGGCGCGGGUAAACUAGCGAAAGACUCUUUUUAUUUUUGGGUCCAACACCGGCGCGGCUCUGCUUCAAUAAAACGGCCGGGAGAAAGCAAAAACAUGAAGAAAGGAGGAGGCUUAAACGCUAAUUUCAAGCUCAAGCUUGCUGUUCCUGCUUCUGAUGAAGUCUCCUUUGCUACCUUCCUAACGAGAAGCGGUACGUUUAUGGACGGAGAUCUGCUCGUUAACAGAGACGGAGUUCGAAUUGUCUCUCAAAGUCGAAGUGAAGCUCCACCACCUAUUAAAGCAUCUGACAACCAGUUAAAUUUGGAAGAUAUAGACUAUAUUAAAGUCGUUGGAAAGGGAAAUGGUGGAAUUGUGCAAUUGGUGCAACACAAAUGGACUGGCCAGUUUUUUGCAUUAAAGGUUAUUCAAAUGAAUAUUGAGGAGUCCGCACGGAAACAGAUUGCACAGGAAUUGAAAAUUAAUCAAUCUUCACAGUGUCCAUAUGUUGUGGUGUGUUACCAAUCUUUCUACAUUAAUGGUGCCAUUUCAAUCAUUUUGGAGUAUAUGGAUGGUGGAUCUUUAGCGGAUUUUCUGAAAAGUGUUAAAUCGAUCCCAGAACCGUAUUUAGCUGCCAUCUGUAAGCAGGUGCUUAGGGGUUUGUUGUAUCUUCAUCAUGAAAAACACAUCAUCCACAGGGAUUUAAAGCCUUCUAAUUUGUUGAUAAACCAUAGAGGGGAAGUCAAGAUUACUGAUUUUGGUGUGAGUGCAAUAAUGGCAAGCACCUCCGGACAGGCAAAUACUUUUGUUGGCACAUACAACUAUAUGUCUCCUGAGAGGAUUAGUGGGGGCAGAUAUGGGUAUAAAAGUGACAUUUGGAGCUUGGGAUUAGUAUUGCUUGAGUGUGCAACUGGUCAGUUCCCAUACUCCCCACAAGAGCAAGAGGAAGGAUGGACUAGUUUUUACGAGCUUAUGGAAGCAAUUGUUGACCAACCACCACCUUGUGCACCUUCUGAUCAGUUUUCUUCAGAGUUUUGCUCAUUUAUUUCUGCAUGUGUACAAAAAGAACCAAGAGACAGACCGUCAGCACAGGAACUUUUGGUAUGUAAAUCCUGUCUUCCUUUGUCCCUUUACUGUCUUGAGUACACAACUUUUAUGUGGAAUAUGUGCUGAACUGAUGUUUUUAAAUUUUAUUCUGCUUUUCUUUUUUCUCUUAAUGUGAAACCCAGGAACAUCCUUUCAUGAGCAUGUAUGAUGACUUGAAUGUAGAUCUGUCCGCUUACUUCACCAAUGCAGGAUCUCCACUUGCAACCCUUUGAAACUUGAGUGGAUUUAAUUGUUGAAGGAGUUCACAUUUCGCAAACUAGCUUGAGACCCAAACGUGUGGGGAAUUUAGUAACAGAGAUUUUAGAAACCUGGUGAAAGAAUCCUAGAUGUCUUUGCGGUUGAAUUCUAAUAAUAGUCUGUACCUCAGAGAACCUUAGUACCAGAAGCCUUGAAGCAAAGUUUCAGCUAACCAGGAUAACCAGGUUUUAUGAUUGCAUUGUUUGCCAUGAUGUCAACUACUAUAAUUAAUUGUAUGAACUCAGAUAGAGAUGUACCGUUUUAUAAAAUGAACUAAAUUUUAUUUGUUUA